CGAAUUUUAGAAUUUCUGUUUCUGAUUUCUGUUUCUGAUUUCUGAUUUAGAGAUUUCUGAUGCAUCAUAAAAUAUUGUAGGUUUCUCUGUUCUCAACUUCUCAGUAUAUGGUCGCAGAUUGUGAGAUUGACGCCGAAAACCUCAAACGCUGCCUUGAAUUCUUCGCCUGUCCAGUUUGCUAUGGUCAAUACUCGAUUCCAAAAUAAUAGAUGUGAAGCUUAACAAAUCUUAGAAACGUUUUCUGCCAAACACAAUUAUGUUGGAUACUUAUUUUACGACGAUGAACUAUCAAACUGUGUUCGAAAGUACUCUGCAUCGGAUCCAAAAGCUACAUAUCAUGAGAAAAAUUCCAAUCCAAAGAAGAAAAAUACCAAGAUAAGGAUGAAGAUUACACUUAUGCCAACUUUGACUCAAUCGUGAAACAGCUCAAGCUGAUAAAAUCGUUCCUCUCUGUAAAGAUUUGAUUGCUGCGGUCGGUGCUAAAGAAAAAUUAUCUACUCCUAGUGUGAUUCCGAAGACGUUUUCUUCUUGUAUAAAAGAACUGUUUGGUACAGCUACCAAAUAACAUGAACCGAGCUCGUUCAACGAUGAAAUAUUUGCUGAUGUUUUGCAAAUGCCGUUCAUUUUUCAAGCAAAUGGAUCUGCUUUUGAGAAUUUCUUCAGAAGUUCGUUGAAAUGGAGCUGAUGGUUGGAAGACGAGAUACAAAUGUUGAACUCGUUGUACCGAAUAGCUAGAUGAUACGAAUACACUGCUAAAGAUUCAAAGUUUCAUGGAAAAAAGCUAAUCGCAUUGUAUCGUGGAAAAUUUAGUGGCGAAAAAACUCAAAAAAAUUCAAACUUUUCACUAAGCAUCGGUUUUUAUGAAAAAAUCGGAGUUCUAUGAAGAAAAUGAUGAGAAAAAAAAAUAUCAAGUAUAAAAUUUACAUAGCUUUUAAGCACAAAUUGAAAAAAGGACAAUUUAAACCAAUUGUUUUGAUGAGGAAUUAAAAACUUUUUUCAAUUUUUUAUGCAAAGAAUCAAAUUGUGUUGGGACACAUUUUCCUACUUUUGCAGCUCGAUUGACCUAUUUAUUUCUAGUGAGUUUUAAAAAUUGCAUCUUCGACAAUAAAUUUAAAUUUCUAUUUUUCGUCGUAUUUGGGAAAAAACUAUGGAUACCUACCUUGAAAAAUUGAAAAGGAACAGUGCAAUCUAAUUCAUUUCUUAAUGAAGUAGGUAGAUACUUUUUUUUUUAAAUUCUCUCUUCAAUUUUUUCACUCGCAAAUUUUAUUUUUGGGAAAAAUCUUCGGUCAUUUGAAAAAAUAAAGGGAAACAAAUUUUCAAAGCAUUAUUUUUCUGGGAGGUUUUGGUUGUGAGAUAUUUCAAAUAAACAUAAGAAAUUAGUAAACCCUUUGUUUCGACAUUAAAAAUUAAUAUUUUUCAAUUUUUUCAUCAUUUAUUUCGGUAAAAAACGAAGAACAGCGACAAAUUAAGAGAGUGCAAAAAUGGAUCCUCCUCCCCCCUCUCAAAAAAACGUUCCAAAGUCUGGAAAUUUUCUAAAAUUGGUCACCAUUUUUUUUCAAGACCUGCAAGUUUUACUACUUGAAUAAAAUUUUUAAAAAAAUUUGAAAAAUUGUCUACAAAAAUCGACACUUAAUACAAGUUGUUUACAAUUUAGACAACCGAAGUAAAAAUUUUCAAAAAAAUUUUAAAAUUGACUAAAAAAAUAGAAAUUUUCAAGAUUUUGACGAAAUUUUGUCAAAAUUUGGGAAAAUUUGUUCAAAUGGUUUUAAGAACCGACUGAUUUUUUUUUAAAAAAAAUCGUCAAAUGUUAGAGUUGGCAAAUUUACAAAUUUGAAAAUCUUAAUUUGGUAACUUGAAAAUUUAGCCUUUAGGAAGAUUCUUCUGCCCCCCCUUCAUCCCGACAGACCUUAUUACUGUUCUGUGUAGCGCAUCUGUGAUCUGAUCUGAAUUUUUUUAUUCUUUUAUUCGUCAAAAUUGACAUUUUAUUCAGCAAAUGUUUGAGUUGCCUAUCCUCGUAUCCAAGGCUAUGGACGACUGACUCUUGAAACACACCGUACUUAUAAUAUGGUAAUCCCUUCAUUUUAUUUGAUUAGUUUUUCCCUCCUUCCUGCAUCGAUUUCUUGAUCCGAACACGAUGAAAUUAUUAUCUACUUAGUCCGAACUCUAUAGCACUUGUCCUAAAACCCUCAUUUUUUUCCUUCACUCGUAAAAAACUUCUCGAAAGUGGAAUUCCAUUUAGGGACACCGGUACCUAACUAACAAUUUUUCAACCUCGAGUAUUUAUAAUGAUUUCUCUCUCUGUGGAAAGAAAAAUACUAUAUAGGGAUCGUAAUUAGUCCGUAGGUGGAGGUCGCGUACCAGGUUACUGCGGAGUGCUGCUGUACGAUGAACACUUGGUGUACUCGACGGUGAUGCUGAUGUUUAAUAGCGUCGAAAAUAAGGGGCAGAGAUAGGAAUGAGAGUAAAAUAAGUAUAAGAUGGUGGAAUUUUACGAUUGUUUUCAAUUGCCGGAGAUAGUUUGUCGUGGUAUUACGAUAAAGUACACACCGAUAUAGUGCUGCGGUGCGGUCGAGGAGAAAAAGCAUUUUCUCCCACGCGUUAAUUUUCGAAAGCGCAACGAAAACGAGUCAAGUUAAAAAUAGUAUAAGAGUAUCACUAUUAAAGGAACCGCGGUGUUUCGAUAUUACUGCAUUUAAAAGUUUUUUUCUAUCUUUUAAAUUGGCGUAUCUACGUUAUAGAGUAAAAAAUCGUGUGCUGGGGGAGAGACACGUUGUGGUUCGUGGGAGCGAAUUUCGAACCCCCUAGAUACGGUUUACCAAAUUCGAACUGCACGAUGAGAAAGAAAUCGCGCGUUAAUUUAUAAAACGCGUUCGCAAGCUGAUUUUUUUCCCUCUGUUGGCAUUUUUUUUUUUACGAUGAGAGUAAGGCGAGCAUUGCGCCAGGUUUUUGUUAUUGCUUUUUUAACGUCGCUCGUUUGUUCGUUCGGUCGCUUUAAAAAGCUGCCACGCGAAUAAAGCCUGACUAAAAAUAACCGAGUAAUUAAGCUGCAAAGAAUUUUCAAUACUAAUUCCAAAGUUGAAUUGUGUUUCUGUUUCCAGCAUUGUGAUUGUGUGUGAGCUCUCGCGUGUAUUCUGCAAAAUGCUUGUGCUGUACGAAUGUUGGACUGGAGGGGUUAUCUCGGUGUUCACUUUAUUACUUCUUCUUACGAUUUUAUUUUCCCUCGUGACAAUAUUUUUACAUAAAAAAUUGAUCAUUUCAACAAGGAUCACUAUUACUUAUUGUAAUAUAGUCUAUGUACUAUUUACAAAUACUAACUCUAACUCUAAGAGGCGAUUUAUCAAAAUUACCUAUUCGUAAUUGGAGAUUAAUGAAUUACAUUUACGUGUGUUUACAUCUACCUACCUUUGAUCCAAAAAAAAAACUUUCGAAGCAUUUUUCUGUUUACGAAGUCGUUCACUUGAAAAAAGGUACCCUCGUUGUGCAACCUCAACCUUAUUGAUAUGAAGUACAUAAUUUUAUUAUGUGUUUUUUCUCCCUCCUUUCCUUUUUUUACGAGUAUUUCUUUGAGAAGUGUUUCGUUGAAUAUCUACAUUUUGUACGAUAGAUGUAGAAAAUAUUGAAAGUUACCAUAGGUGUAAUGUAUCUAUAAUUUAUCUAUGUUCAAUAAAAAUUGGCAUUUUUCAUUAACGUUGUUAACGUAUUAAAGUACGAGUAAUGUACAAAUAAGUUAGUACUCACGUUAUGUACUUGGGAACGUUGCAAUAAAAAUCGUUAUUUGUUGCACUGUUAA